GCCCGUUUAGCACAGUUGGUAGUUGCGCGCCCCUCGUAAGGGUGAGGUCGAUAGUUCGAAUCUGUCAACGGGCA